ensembl:lncRNA
GCUGAAAAAACUAAAGAUUGUGUCUCAAUGAAAGGGGGUUGGAAUAUGUUCAGGACACUCCAAACAUUAAAUAAAAUGUGUGAAGUAGUUGAGAUUUACGUCCCUGAAUGCUCCACAAUACUUUAAACAUAGGCCUAAACACAGGCGAAAAUGCAUUGUCUUCAAUGGUAGGGCCAUGUGACACCUAUGACAGUUUGCUGAUGAAACUAAAGAAUGUGUCUCAAUGAAAGGGGGGUGGAAUAUGUUCAGGACAUUCCAAACAUUAAAUAAAAUGUGUGAAGUAGUGGAGAAUUACGUCCCUGAAUGCUCCACAAUACUUUAAACAUAGGUGACAAGAAGACACCCUUAUCAACUCAAUUACUAUUGAUCAAAACAGAACGAGGUUUCGGCUGUAGCCUAUACUUGAAACAAACUAUUGAGACCAUAUUCGCUUACAUGCAUUGCACGCGUGAUGAAUUGCGGCUUAAUGGUGUUUUGAGCCCUCACCGUCGACUUCAAGGCAGCAGCUCACCCACCCCCUGAGCGAAAUAAUUCAUAUCUAUAAAUAACAGCUCACCUUUAUCUUUUUAACCAGAUUUGUAAACAGGUCGCGAUCAAUAUUUUGCAGUACAAUAGGCUACCUUGGUUAAAAAUCGAAUUACGAUAGAUGCAUGCUAGCAUUGCGCUAAAUAAUUAGACAGCUAACAUUAAUUAGUGGUGUUAACAUAAAGUCAGUUAUUGUAUAUGGCAUUAAUAUUAUUCUAAAACACCUUCACUAGUUGUUUUAACCAGAUUUGUAAGCAGGUUGUAUACAACAUUUUGGAAGUGCCUUGGUUUAUAACAGCUAAAAGCUAGCUACAUUAAGUUGCUUGCUCAAAUCUCAAAUUCAAACCAACGUAUUUUCUAAACUGGCAAGCUUGGAGCUGCCUCUGUUCAAUGAUUGGCUCAGGGGGUGGGAGGUGGGAUGCGCCUUCCAGGCAGCUGCUGCCUUGAAGUCGACGGUGAGGGCUCAAAACACCGUUAAGCAGCUUUUUUUUAAUUUAUUUUUUAUCGCGGACUUUUUAUUUUUUUUUGCCUUAGGCGCUCGGGAUUUGUUGUAGGCGCUCGGGAAAACGGCUUAGGCGCGCGCCCAAAUUUUCUCUAUGCAGGAAAAACCUGUAUACUCAUUAAAAAAAUAAAAGAUUGGCAAAGUCAACUCCUCUAGGCCUCUUUUUCUUUUAACCCUGGCAGCUCAUACUGCUCUCAACCUCCUCGACGAGCCACCCCGCUUAGCAACGGGGGUUUUCUUCCCACUGGAGCUGCCUUUGCCGACUGCCUUCUCCUCAACAGCUGCGGCAUCACCCUCAUCUCCACCCUGAAGUUCAUCCUCAUCCUCCACAGGAGCCAGGAUGCGGUCAUGCCCCUCCUCCAGAGAGGCUGGUUGUGUGUUCCCAUUGGCUGCUGAUGCUGCCUGUAUGAUCUCCUCGUGUGGCUGCUCCUGCGGUUGCUGCUCCUCCUGCGGCUGCUCCUCCUGCGGCUGCUCCUCCUGCGGCUGCUUCUCCUGCGGCUGCUCCUCCUGCGGCUGCUCCUCUUGCGGCUGCUUCUCCUGCGGCUGCUCCUCCAGCGGCUGCUCCUCCUGCGGCUGCUCUGCUUUUUCACUACUGGAGGGGAGGUCAGUUGGUUUGACUUUUGAGGGUCGACCCCUCUUGCGUGGUGGGCCGUCGUAGAGCGGUUUAGGUUCUGGAAUCGUUGCCUUCCAAUGCCUUUUCUUCUUGCCUAGAGAGCCCCUCGGCCGGCCCCUUUUCUUCGGCGUAGCGCCAUUCUCCAUUUCCAGCUUCUUCUUGGCGACAGCAGAGCCAGAGCUCCGGGGUCGGCCUCUCUUUCUCGGGGGGCUGUCUGCUUCUUCCUCCAGGGACCUUUUCCGGGGCCUGCCCCUCUUUCGCGGGGGUCCGUCAACAGCUGCGGCCUGGACCUUCCCUGAACCCGGUUGUCUCCCCCUCUUUCGGACCGGGCUAAAUGUGAGGCGCCUGGUUUUGUUUGUUGAACCGGGAGGUCGCCCUCUACCUCUUUUGACGGGAGGCCUGUUAGCUGGGGGAUUACCCAGCUUGGAGGUGCUACGACUGGAGACAGAGUCAUACUUGGGAGGGCUGCCCCUUUUCCUCUGAAACAUAUUUAACUUAUUUUUGACAGAGCCCUUAGGUCGACCCCUGCCACGUUUGACUGGCGGGGGGAUGCCAUUAGGAAUACCCUCCUCAGAGUCACUGGGCUCUGCCGUCAUCUCCUUUUGGAAUAGUCAGAUGACAAGUUGAGACAAUGUGGCUCUCUGCAGAAGAAAAUGGAUAAGGUUACACUCAUCCUCUUACAUGUCAUAGCAUACUAAAAGAAAAUGUCGGUCUUAGUGCCUGGUUAUUGCAACUAAAUGUAUCUUGCCAAUCGGAAGUCGUAACAAUCUUACUCAAACAAGUAAGGUAAAUGUAAGGUACAUUGAAGGUAAAAUUAUCUACAGCAAGUAGAUAAUAAGUAAGUAAUAAGGUUAUAAGAACUGCAAUCUUGCAAGUGUUUUCAUAUGUACCCAUCAGCGAGGUUAUGACUCUGAAGUUAUCCACGCCCCCCUUUCUAACCUUUGCAACCCAGCAACACGACGGUUCCUAGCUGGCUAAGCUAACAAAAAUAAUGCUGUUCAUGAUGGACAGCUAAGACAGUAA